UCUUUUUAUAGUCAUUGUGUUGUAUGCUAGAUUAGGAUAAUACCUUGGAUGUUCUUAUUUGCAUGUAUAAUACAGAAAACAUAGAUCCAAGGUAUUUAGGGUUGCAUGUACACUUAGGAAGUGUUAGAAUGCUCAAAACCCAACAUGCUCAUCCUCCCCUUCUUUAAGUUUUGGAACUCAUUGUUCAGAUUANGGAACUCAUUGUUCAGAUUAAUCAGAUCUAUCUCUGAACAAUACUGCACCCUUAACUGCUCCAAGAACUCCUCCCAUGACAUUUUCAGGGCUUCUCCUCGUGACAUAGUAUCUGCCAACAACUUCCUCCAACUCAAGACUCCAGUCUUCAUUUGUCUAACUGCAAAGACAGUCUUUUGUUUGUUGCUAUAGUCGCAACUUUCAAAUACCAUCUCCAUUUCGGAGAUCCAAUCCAUAAUCUCAACAGGCUUCGGGAUUCCAAAAAGACUUGGCGGCUUGGCGCCCAAGAAAUUCCUAUACAUUCGCACAUCCUUGUUGUUUCUCCUUUCCGAGUUGUUCCUUCGUUCUCCUUGAGUCCCAACUUGACUCACCAUGCAACUAUUGUUCCCUUCCUCCGAUUGCUCGGGAAUCACUUUGGGUUCCUCAAUAGGUAUGAUUGGUUCAUUCCUAUUUUCAUGUAACAACCGUCGCAUUUCUUCCCUUUGUUCGGCUAACAUAGCCCGAACCAUGGCUUGCAUCCCAACCAUUGUUAUUGGUUCUGGUGCUGCUGCUACAACAUGUGCUUGCUUAAUCACUGGUGGUUGAUUCCUGUUUUCAUCCGCGUUUCCAACUCCACUUCUGGUUCUUACCAUUCUUUUUAUCUGCACAACAAAUAAGGUGAAAUUAGAUCCUCAUCCAUAAUAGAUAAUUAUAUCAUCCUUAUCACUCUGAAACGUUUACAUGUUAGUUCUAAUACCGUAGACGUACGCUUAGAAUCCUACACAGAUUAGGUUUCCAGAUUCGGUCGGCAACAGACCAUAGAUCCGAAC
rnacentral:lncRNA from 1 species